rnacentral:rRNA from 3 species
UUAUACAUAGCCUCAACUCAUGUGAGACUACCCCCUGAAUUUAAGCAUAUUAAUAAGGGGAGGAAAAGAAACCAAC